UACGUAGGGUGCAAGCGUUGUCCGGAAUUAUUGGGCGUAAAGAGCUCGUAGGCGGUUUGUCGCGUCUGCUGUGAAAACCCGAGGCUCAACCUGGGGCUUGCAGUGGGUACGGGCAGACUAGAGUGCGGUAGGGGUGACUGGAAUUCCUGGUGUAGCGGUGGAAUGCGCAGAUAUCAGGAGGAACACCAAUGGCGAAGGCAGAUCUCUGGGCCGUAACUGACGCUGGACGGAGCGGAAAGCAUGGGGAGCGA
rnacentral:rRNA from 1 species